rnacentral:rRNA from 1 species
GUGUGAUCUAUCCCAAAAAUAAGCACGGGCUAAGUUCGUGCCAGCAGCCGCGGUAAGACGAACCGUGCGAACGUUAUUCGGAAUCACUGGGCUUAAAGGGUGCGUAGGCGGGCUGUCAAGUCUGGGGUGAAAUCCCGCGGCUCAACCGUGGAACUGCCUCAGAUACUGAUGGCCUCGAGGGAGGUAGGGGCAUGCGGAACUGUAGGUGGAGCGGUGAAAUGCGUUGAUAUCUACAGGAACUCCGGUGGCGAAAGCGGCGUGCUGGACCUCUUCUGACGCUGAGGCACGAAAGCUAGGGGAGCAAACGGGAUUAGAUACCCCGGUAGUCCUAGCCCUAAACGAU